UCGAUCAUCAGGUGACCAAAAGGGGGUAAACCCUAGCUUAUCAAACAUCUUCAAAAUUGAAAGGAAAUUGGAGCUCAAACUCUUGAAUAAACAUGAAUUAACGAUCACCCAAGCUAGGGGAUCGUAAGUUUGACGCUUGACAAGCUAGGUGGAGCUUGGGAAGGAAGCGGAUCAAACAAGCUAAGCAUGAAGAAAAGCAGAACCCGAUGCAAGGAAAUAACAUAUGUUGCGUUGCUUUAACUAGAAAAUUUAAAGCAAGAGGUAUGUAAACGGGUCAUUGCUAUGACCCGAGCCAG